AUUAUUGGACAAUGGGUGAGGGCCUGACCCAGCCAGCCCGCGUGCAGGAAGAAUGCCUUAUGGUUUGUAAACGUCUUUUAUACAGGAAUAAACCACUUUACGCGUAAGGUGUUGAAGGUACUGUAUUAAUAAGCAACGGCUAACUACGUCCCAGCAGCCGCGGUAAUACGGAGGAUGCAAGCGUUAUCCGGAUUUAUUGGGUUUAAAGGGUCCGUAGGCGGGCAUAUCAGUCAGAGGUGAAAUCCGACAGCUUAACUGUCGAACUGCCUUUGAAACUGUAUGUCUUGAGUGAGAUUGAAGCAGCUGGAAUGUGUAGUGUAGCGGUGAAAUGCAUAGAUAUUACACAGAACACCGAUAGCGUAGGCAGGUUGCUAAGUCUUUACUGACGCUGAUGGACGAAAGCGUGGGGAGCAAACA
rnacentral:rRNA from 1 species